UACAGAGGGGGCAAGCGUUGUUCGGAAUUACUGGGCGUAAAGGGCGCGUAGGUGGCGACCCAAGUCAAUGGUGAAAGCUCGAUGCUCAACAUCGAGUCGGCCACUGAUACUGGGUUGCUCGAGCACUGUAGAGGCAGAUGGAAUUCCGGGUGUAGCGGUGGAAUGCGUAGAGAUCCGGAAGAACACCGGUGGCGAAGGCGGUCUGCUGGGCAGUUGCUGACACUGAGGCGCGACAGCGUGGGGAGCAAACAGG
rnacentral:rRNA from 1 species